UGCGUAGGCGGAUAAAUAAGUCAGUGGUGAAAUCUCUCGGCUCAACCGGGAAACUGCCAUUGAUACUGUUAGUCUUGAGUUCGGUUGAGGUAGGCGGAAUGUGUAAUGUAGCGGUGAAAUGCUUAGAUAUUACACAGAACACCAAUUGCGUAGGCAGCUUACUAGACCGACACUGACGCUGAGGCACGAAAGCGUGGGUAGCGAACAGGAUUAGAUACCCUGGUAGUCC
rnacentral:rRNA from 1 species